AACGAACGCUGGCGGCAUGCCUAACACAUGCAAGUCGAACGAGACCUUCGGGUCUAGUGGCGCACGGGUGCGUAACGCGUGGGAACCUGCCCUUAGGUUCGGAAUAACUCCCCGAAAGGGGUGCUAAUAACGGUUAAUGUCUUCGGACCAAAGAUCUAUCGCCUUUGGAUGGGCCCGCGUUGGAUUAGCUAGUUGGUAGGGUACAAGCCUAUCAAGGCGACGAUCCAUAGCUGGUCUGGGAGGAUGGUCAGGCAGACUGGGACUGAGACACGGCCCAGACUCCUACGGGAGGCAGCAGGAAGGAAGAUUGAAGGGUGGGCGAAAGCCUGAGCCAGCAAGGCCGCGGGAGGAAUGAAGGCCUUAGGGAUGUAGAGCUCGUUUACCCGGGAUGAUAAUUACAGUACCGGGAGAAUGAGCUCCGGCCAACUCCGUUC
rnacentral:rRNA from 1 species